UAAUAUCUGUGUUUAUACGUCAGUCACAUCAUGAGGAUUUGUCUUAAUUUAAAGCUGCAGAACAAAAUAAACUGUUCACAAUGUCUCCAGUUCACUAAGAGGAAUAAAGCAGGUCUGAGCCAGGACUAAACAAGGUCUAAAGUUCCUCUUAUAGAGCUGAACUGAACCUGUACUAAACCAGGUCUAAUCCAGAACUAACCCAGGACUAACCCAGGUCUAACCCAGGACUAAACCAGGAAUAAACCAGGACUAAACCAGGACUAAAGUUCCUCUUAUAGAUACUGAGCACCGUACAAGAGCUGCACUGAACCUGUACUAAACCAGGUCUAAUCCAGAACUAAACCAGGUCUAAUCCAGAACUAAACCAGGUCUAAUCCAGAACUCAACCAGGUCUAAUCCAGGUUUAAUCCAGAACUCAACCAGAACUAAACUAGGUCGAACAACAGACUAUGAUCACUGCCCACAAGGAAUACCUCACAAAAGAUGCACAAAACUAGGUCUAACCCAGAACUAACCCAGAACUAAACCAGGACUGAACCAGGUCUAACCCAGAACUAACCCAGAACUAAACCAGGACUGAACCAGGUCUAACCCAGAACUAACCCAGGAAUAAACCAGGACUAACCCAGGACUAAACCAGGAAUAAACCAGGACUAAACCAGGUCUAACCCAGGUCUAACCCAGAACUAAACCAGAACUAAACCAGGACUGAACCAGGUCUAACCCAGAACUAACCCAGGAAUAAACCAGAACUAACCCAGGACUAACCCAGGACUAAACCAGGAAUAAACCAGGACUAAACCAGGUCUAACCCAGGUCUAACCCAGAACUAAACCAGGACUAACCCAGGACUAAACCAGGAAUAAACCAGGACUAAACCAGGACUAAACCAGGUCUAAACCAGGUCGAAACGAGGUUUAAUCCAGGUCUAACCUUGGACUAAACAAGGUCUAACCCAGGAGUAACCCAGGUCUAACUCAGAUCUAAACCAGGUCUAAUCCAGGUUUAAACCAGGUCUAACCCAGGACUAAACUAGGACUAAACCAGGUCUAAACCAGGUGUAACACAUGGUCUAACCUAGGUUUAACCCAAGUUCAAUACAGGACUCACCCAGGUCUAAACCAGGUCUAAAACAGGUCUAACCCAGGUUUAACCAAAGACUACAGGUCUAACCCAAGACUAAACCAGGUCUAACCCAAGACUAAACCAGAUCCAACCCAGGACUAAACUGCACCAACCAUCACAAAUCACUCUCACUCUCAGUUCAUACGAUCAAAGUAUCUGAAGUGUUUUGCCCAAGGAAACAAAAACAGAAUGAACAGGCAAUGCAAAACACUAAACCACUUCCACCUGCAUUUUAUAUUUGUCAUUCAUGUCACUUAUUUGGUCAUAAUCCAAACUGCGCAUUUUGUCAAAAUUAAGCAAAGUUUUAUGGCUCAACCUGUUUUUGAGAAAUCUUCAUGUGAAAUUUAGAGUAACUCCAGUUUCUUCAGCGAUUCGAAGGAAAAGUGCAGUAACUUCAGCGACCGAUGUUGUAAACAGAUACUGCACUUUUCUGGAGAAUUUCACUCAAUUCACAGACACUGCUGCAAAUUUUAAGGUCUAAUUCCGAAAUGAGACAAAACACAGACUUGAAACUUUCACAUUUUCUUAUUCAACACAUAAACUAGAAUAUUUAUUUUUUUGUGACAGUAAAAGACCACCUCAUUUUCUGUACUUUAACUGAACAAUAGGUUGCAUAAUUUGCCCCACUGUCAGAAAUUCAACUUGUACCCAUUCUAAAAUCUGACUAUACCAAUUAAAAGAAAAUCUUUGGAGUAUUUGCUCAAUUUAAUAAAAUCUACCGGGUCCAUCAAGCCUCUAAAGCUCUGGCUGAAAAAUAAGUUUUUCUCAAAUAACUUUAAAAAUAAUCCAUUUAGGGCCGCGGUGUCAAUGAAAAUUAAAUAUAAAUGUUGGUAUUGCGCAUCUUUUGGUACCAAUUUUAUAUCUCUAUCUUCAUAACUUUCUAAAAUAUGACAAUUUUGUGGAGAUUUUGAGUGUUUUUUUCAUAAUUAUUUGGUAUCCACAAAGGCCAAAGAUGAAAUGAGAGACAUAAAGUUUGUUCUCUUUCUUUAAUGAUCAUAGAUUAAAUGAUUGGGAUUCGGAUCAAUCAAUAAUGCCCAUCGCCUUCGCCUUUCACUCUUUUUCAGUUCUGUUGGGAAGAGAAACAGUUUGAACGGAGGUUUGAGUCACACACAUCUGAUUCCCUUUUGCAUUUAUGGAGUUGGAAAACAAAUUUCUCGAGCCGUUUUCCGCUGUUUGGAUCCAACAACCACAUAAUUAACGAUGUCCGAAUCCCAAAACUAAAAUAUGACAAUAUCAGAACCAGAAACGAAAGUGAUAUGGUUCAAAAGACUUGAAAAGAUCCAGUUUGUCAAUAGACGCAUCCCACUGGGAAAACAAACAUGGUGGUUUGAUGAAUCUUUCCCAGCAUGCAUUGCGCAAUGACCGGAAAUCCGAAAUUCUUGAUGCGUGUAUUGAUACGAUAUAUCGAUAGUUCAAGUAUUUUUGCACACUCUUAUUUCUUAUUGACGCUUUGACAAGUAGGUUACAGUGAACACGUCUGAUAACAGUUCUUCGUUAUCAUAAAAUAAUACCUGUAUUAAAGAUUUAACUUUUCACAGUUUCACUUUGUGCUCUAAAUAAUAAUUUGAAAUGUUAGGUGUUACGUCCCCAGACACUCGUUUACUGUUUAUUUGUGAUUUAUGUGUCGCUCGUUAUAAUUUGUCACUCGAUUUUGUUUGUGGACCUACGUGACUCAUAGUUUUUGUGUUUUUGUAGUUUAAUUUGUUAUUUUCUGUACAAUUAGUUUGCUUUGGGUAAAUUAUUUUGAACCAUUUAUGUGAAUAUUUUAGCACGUUUUGUUAAUUUAACCUUUUACAUUCUUUUUUCCAAGUAUUUUUUUAUUAAUUUUCAGACAAUAAAAAUUCCAUCUGAACAACUGACCACGUUAACACAGGUCAACAUAUAACAAAAAAAUAAAAAAAUAAAUAAAUAAAUAUAUAUAAAAUAAUUAAAUAAAUAAUAAUAAUAAUAAUAAUAAUAAUAAUAAAUAAAAUACAAUAAAGAUAAUGAUAAUAAUAAUAACAAAUAACAAAUUCCACACUCUCACACACUCAUACACAUUCACACAUUCACUAUGCAAUACUUGCACAACACAAUCCAUCAAUCGCAGGUGAGUCUUUGAUUUAUAUUUGGUGACCAUAUGUACUUAAAACGAAUAAAAUAAAAUAUAAAUAAAUAUAUGUAUAUAUAUACAUACACACAACAAUAAUAAAAAUAAAUAAAUAGAUAAAUAAAAAUAAAUAGAAAUAUAUUAAUUAAAAAUUAGUAGAGAAACAUGAAUAAAUAAAUGGAUAUAGAUAAUAUAUAUAAAAAGUAAUAAUACUAAAAUAAAAAUAAAUAAAUAAUAAUAAUUAAUAAACAAUAAAAUGAGAUAGGUAAAUAAUAAUACUAAAAUAAAAUUGUAAUAACUACAAUAACAACAACAACAUUUAUGACAAUAACCUUUUACAUUCUGGUUUAUUAAAUUAUUUCUUUAGUUUUACCAUUUUACAUGUUGGGUUUUGUUGCUUCCCUGACCUUUAGCCGAGUUGGGUCGUAACAUUAGUUGACCGUAUCUCAUUUAUAAGAGGAGGCAGAUCUGCAUUUUAAGCCGUGAUUUGCUGAAUUUGUUCAUUUCAAGUUACAUAAUGUGUUGUAGAUCCGACAUUUGUUACAAUUCAGGACCUAUGGCUGAUUCAAGGUCCUUGAAGCACCAAAGAAAUGACACUUUUGCCAUAUCUCAGAAACUAAUGAUAGUAGAGACAUAAAACUGGCACCAAAUGAUACGCAAUGUCCAUAUUUAUCUUAUUAAAGAAAAUCUGCUCAGAUUUAAGGCUUCUGCACUAAACUGCAGAGUCUUGGUGGAUCCAGUAGAAUUUCUCAAGGACGUUUACUUUGGGAAGUGUAAAAAAUUUAUUCUAGGUACAGAUUGAUUUUCAAAAAUGUUUCAAAAAGUUGGGCAAAUGAUGCACCCUACUGUCAGUGUUGGGGAGUAACAGAUUACAUGUACCAGAGUUAAGUAAUCAGAGUACAAAUGAUGAGUAACUGUAUUGUGUAAAUGGAUUACACGUGUUCCUGUUUUCACAUUUUGGGCUAUUCCCUUUUUUGUUGUUGUUGUUGUUUGUUUGUUUUUGUUUGUUUGGUAAUUCCACUCAUUGCCGGACACUAAACCAGGUCUAAACCAGUUCUAAACCUGGUCUAAACCAGGACAAACCAGGUCUAAACCCAGGUCCAAAUCCAUUCUAAACCUGGUUUAAACCAGGUCUAAAACCAGGACUAAACCAGGGCUAAACCAGGUCUAAACCAGGACUAAAACCAGGACUAAACCAAGACUAAACCAGGUCUAAUCCAGGACUAAAACCAGGUCUAAACCGGGACUAAACCAGGACUAAAACCAAGACUAAACCAAGACUAAACCAGGACUAAACCAAGACUAAACCAAGACUAAACCAGGUCUAAACCAGGUCUAAACCAGGACUAAACCAAGACUAAACCAGGUCUAAACCAGGACUAAAAACCAGGUCUAAACCGGGACUAAACCAGGACUAAAACCAGGUCUAAACAGGGACUAAACCAGGACGAAACCAGGACUAAACCAAGACUAAACCAGGUUUAAACCAGGUCUAAAC